CCCCCCCGCCCCCCCGCACGUGUGGCAGUGUAUCCUCUCACCACGCACACAAUGGCGUACGUCCACCCCCUGCACGCACAACUGUGUAGGCAUACCCUCUCCCCCUUCCCCGCAUGUGCGACAGUGUACCCCCCUACACUCCCGCAUGCGCAACGGCGUACGUACGCUCUCUUGUGCGAUGGCGUAUUCACGUCAUCUCUCCUCCUGGACUUACAUCACAGAGAGGAUGAAGAUUUCCUUCACUGGCUGGGACAACAGCGCCCCUGCAGAGAUGACCUCAAGUCCCCAAACUGAUCUGGACCUCAUGGGCCAAAGGAACCUAAGAAAUGGGGUGAAGAUGUGAUCAUAUAUUUUUUUCUCCAGUCCAAAGAGAACCAGGUUUCUCAGAUUGGUUGCAAGAAUGACUUAUUAAAACCUGCACAUAGAGAAGAAGAGCUUUGUCACAGUGAGUGUGUUUGUCAACCUUAUAAUGAGUCAUACAUUUUCUUUUUGCUUUAAGAUUGGAAAUAUCCCAGUAAAAGAAACAGUUUGGAAAGCUGUAGAAAAUAACUGGACUGUCUCAAGUCCUCAGAAGUAACAUUGUGAUCAAAACUUUCCCAUUGUCAUAAAGGUGUGUGUUUUGGGGCAGGGGUAAGGGAGAAGGAGAGAGAGAGAGAAUGGAGAGAUAAAGAGAAACAGAAACAGAAAGCAUGCACACUUCAGCAGGUCUCCUACAGAUAAGCCUGACUUCCUGAGUGGCUGUGGGGGCACUAGUCAUGGAUACCAAACACUAUGUGAUAUCCAUUGCAUUUCAGUCAAGAAGUUACAAAACAGCUCUGAAUAUUCUCUGAAUAUUUCUUUCCAUGUGCCUGUUCAGGAUGUGUCUUUAUGACACAAACAAUUUUUAGCCAUGUUUAUCCAGCGUUUUUCUUUUUCUCACAGAGACUACCAUUCUUUUACUCUACAGUUUACACAGUGUUCCUAUCCCCAAUUGCAUACAAUCCUUACCUCACAGUUACUGGUAGGUCUAUUUGGGCUGGCCAUAAAGCCACCAGUAAGCAUGGGAGCUUUUUGGCUCCAGAUGUAAGGUAACAGUUGUGCUCAUCUGGGAGCUCAAGGCUGGAGGAGGACAAAGCAGGGUAGCUAAUUCUCUGGGGUUUUGCUAACCACAGCAUCCUUGGCCGAUUGGAUUGCUAUUGGGAAUCUUCUGAUUCAUACAUAGAACAUCACUGUCCAAAGCAUCACAAAAAUCAAAUGUGGUAUAAAGUUUUUGCUUUAGAGCUACAGCAUGGCUGUUUAUAGUAGGGUUGAGGAAUAGAUACAUUUAUUGUCUCAAAGAGCCAUUCUUGUGGGACCCAGAAAAUGGUUGUGGUAAACCGUUCCAAAUACUCUAUGCAGUCAAGGCUUAGUUACCUCAGUUAUAACCAGUAUGAUGGCUCUCCUCAGAGGACUAUAAAAAUUAAAUAAUCAUCAAGAAUUUGCAAACAUAAGCUCAUGGAAAUGUCUAGCAAAUAUGUCAAACAUAAAUGUUCUUUUUCUGGUAGAAGAAUGAGAAAGAAGCAUAUUUUAUUGGAUUCUUAUGAGUCCUGAGAGCCUGACCAGACUGUGAUUGACUGGCUUCCAUUCACUGAAUCACAAAAUCUCACAACUGGCAUUGGGUACCUUGAGAGCAUCUGGUUCAAAUAACUUACAUUGCAGAUGAGAAAACAGAGGUUCUGAUGUAUUAAAUUACUUGCCUAGGGUCAUACAGCUUGUUUAUGGCAGUGUCAACACUAGAAGCCCAAAUUUUAUGAUGCCAUAACUAGUUUCUUUCCCGGAAGUCCAGAUGGACCUAUAACCUGGAAUUAGUACCUAGGAGAAAGAUGGUAAAGAUGUCACCCUGAGUCCUGACAGAUUGGUAGGAAACCCUGACUGAGUGACAGGGAAUCCUGGAGUUUGCAUUAAGCAGGAUUUUGGAGCUAUAUUCAGGCUGAUCAUUAAAAAGCUCCCAAGGUUAAAUACCAUUUCUGUCAUGGAGGAAAAAAAGGAAGAAAGGCCAGAUGCCACACAUUUCUGAUGUAGGAGCACCCCAUUUUCUUAUGGUCAUUUUCAGCUGUGUUUAAACUAGAGAUGAUAAUUGUAGGAAUUGAUUUUAUAAGAUUUCAAUGAGAGAAGACUUUAAAGAAUAAGUCUGGACUUAAAAUUGGUGAUAAAAUAUUGUCAAGUCAACAAGUGCCUACUGUUUGCUCCAGCCUGUGCUGGGAAAGAUGAGAGCUACAAAGAAAGUAGGAAAAAACCCAUAUAUUCUGGUAACCUAUACCACAGCAGAGGGAAAAUCAUUUAGUCCUUCUAAUGGUAUCAUGGUAAUUUUAUAUCAACACAGUAUUUUACAUUUUCAAAGUGCUUUCAAUGCAUUGUCUUAUUUCAUAUAGAGAGGGCAAAGGAAUGUGUGAUUGUGUGCUUAAAUUUCAUGGCACUCUAAAUUUUGUGGCAUUUUGUAGAUGUUUUAGGGAAGGAAAUCUUUGAAGGGGAGAGAAGAAGGAAGGGAAGUUUGAUUAAUAAAAAAAACAGCUAAAAAUAAAAGCAAUAUGUAGUACUUUAAAUGAUCAGUUGAUGAGUAUUUUAUUCAGGUAUUCAAAUGAGAGCUUCUUUGUCAAUAAAAAGUGACUAAAUGGAAUCAAUAAAUUUAUUGUAGGGGUUUCUGGGCAGUUCAGUCAGUUGAGCACCUGACUCUUGAUUUCGGCUCAGGUCAUGAUCCUCAAGGUUCAUGGGAUUAAGCCUCGAGUCUG